UACGUAGGGGGCAAGCGUUGUCCGGAUUUAUUGGGCGUAAAGAGCGUGUAGGCGGCCAGGUAGGUCGGUUGUGAAAACUAGAGGCUCAGCCUCUAGACGUCGACCGAAACCACUUGGCUAGAGUCCGGAAGAGGAGAGUGGAAUUCCUGGUGUAGCGGUGAAAUGCGCAGAUAUCAGGAAGAACACCCGUGGCGAAGGCGGCUCUCUGGGACGGUACUGACGCUGAGACGCGAAAGCGUGGGGAGCGAACAGG
rnacentral:rRNA from 1 species